GAUGAACGCUAGCUACAGGCUUAACACAUGCAAGUCGAGGGGAAACGACAUCGGAAGCUUGCUUUUGAUGGGCGUCGACCGGCGCACGGGUGAGUAACGCGUAUCCAACCUGCCCACCACUUGGGGAUAACCUUGCGAAAGUAAGACUAAUACCCAAUGACGUCUCUAGAAGACAUCUGAAAGGGAUUAAAGAUUUAUCGGUGAUGGAUGGGGAUGCGUCUGAUUAGCUUGUUGGCGGGGUAACGGCCCACCAAGGCGACGAUCAGUAGGGGUUCUGAGAGGAAGGUCCCCCCACAUUGGAACUGAGACACGGUCCAAAACUCCUACGGGAGGCAGCAGUGAGGAAUAUUGGU
rnacentral:rRNA from 1 species